AACAAACGCUGGCGGCGUGCCUAACACAUGCAAGUCGUACGAGAAAGUCGGCUUCGGCCGGUGAGUAAAGUGGCGCACGGGUGAGUAACGCGUGGGAAUCUGCCCUUCGGUUCGGAACAACAGUUAGAAAUGACUGCUAAUACCGGAUAAUGACGUAAGUCCAAAGAUUUAUCGCCGAAGGAUGAGCCCGCGUAAGAUUAGGUAGUUGGUGGGGUAAUGGCCUACCAAGCCGACGAUCUUUAGCUGGUCUGAGAGGAUGAUCAGCCACACUGGGACUGAGACACGGCCCAGACUCCUACGGGAGGCAGCAGUGGGGAAUAUUGGACAAUGGGCGAAAGCCUGAUCCAGCAAUGCCGCGUGAGUGAUGAAGGCCUUAGGGUUGUAAAGCUCUUUUACCAGGGAUGAUAAUGACAGUACCUGGAGAAUAAGCUCCGGCUAACUCCGUG
rnacentral:rRNA from 1 species